GUCGGUUUUGCAGCACAUGUGCUGAAAAUGGAACAAUACAGAGAAGAUUAGCAUGGCCCCUGCGCAAGGAUUCCAGGCAAAUCGUGAAGCGUUCCAUAUUUUC